rnacentral:rRNA from 1 species
CCUACGGGCGGCUGCAGUGAGGAAUAUUGGUCAAUGGACGAGAGUCUGAACCAGCCAAGUAGCGUGAAGGAUGACUGCCCUAUGGGUUGUAAACUUCUUUUAUAUGGGAAUAAAAUGUUCCACGUGUGGGAUUUUGUAUGUACCAUAUGAAUAAGGAUCGGCUAACUCCGUGCCAGCAGCCGCGGUAAUACGGAGGAUCCGAGCGUUAUCCGGAUUUAUUGGGUUUAAAGGGAGCGUAGGUGGAUUGUUAAGUCAGUUGUGAAAGUUUGCGGCUCAACCGUCAAAUUGCAGUUGAGACUGGCAGUCUUGAGUACAGUAGAGGUGGGCGGAAUUCGUGGUGUAGCGGUGAAAUGCUUAGAUAUCACGAAGAACUCCGAUUGCGAAGGCAGUUCACUGGACUGCAACUGACACUGAGGCUCGAAAGUGUGGGUAUCAAACAGGAUUAGAUACCCGGGUAGUC